UACGGAGGGGGCUAGCGUUGUUCGGAAUUAUGCGUGGGCGUAAAGAGCUCGUAGGCGGCUUGUCGCGUCGGACUCGUGAAAACCCGCGGCUCAACUGCGGGCCUGCAGCCGGAUACGGGCAGGCGUAGAGUUCGGUAGGGGAGACUGGGAAUUCCUGGAUGUAGCGGUGAAAUGCGCAGAUAUCAGGAGGAACACCGGUG
rnacentral:rRNA from 1 species